GGAGAGGUGGGUAUGGGGAGGAGGUAAGGAGGGUGUGUGGACAUGGCACCAUUCACGUAUUGCUCCUGUUUCCUUGUCAUGCUUCGUUUAUUAUUUGCAGAGUGGUGGUACCUUACCCCUCGAACUAUGUACAUUGUGGGUUCAUAUUCCGCAACGCCCUGAAGCUGAUGUGCUGUUUGGGCAAUUCCCAGAUAUCUCGUAUUGGCCUCUUUGGUGGGGACCUUCUUCUCUAGACCGCUGUUCUAGUGGUUGACCUACUCGUCUU